GUUAUGAUGUCACUCAGGAGCCUGUAAUGGCUUCCUAAUGCCUAUAGGGUAAAGGUAAAACACCUUAGCAGAGCAUCAAAGAUCCCUCAGAGUCUGGUACCAACUGCUUUUCUAGCCUUUUCUCUCACAAUCUCAUCCCAAACCUUCACUCCAGCUAGAACGUUUGUAUCAUACUGGCCACCAGUUAUCAUGUAUGUGAAACCCACCAACCGACUUUGAGUGCCCCCCUAAAAUUUCUCAGUCUCUCCUGAAGUAGGAAACCUCUUCCCCCUCCUCAGAUCUCAGACUCCAGAGCCCUUUCCCAAGGCCAAGACUGCACCUCUCUGACCAUAUACAGGGGUUCUUCAAAGCAGCAGACAGAGGCUCAGGCUCUGGCUCCCUCCAAGCAGACGGCUGCCCCCGACUGGCCACCUUGGGAAGCACAGCCAGGCUUCAGUCGUCUAGAACAGAGAAUGAGCAUCUAACCGCCUGGGGAGAGGACUAGGACACCAGAUGAUAAGGUUUAUAAGCCCUUAAGCCUCUAAGGUUCUUACACCCAGAGUAGGGGGGGGACGGUUCUCAGCCCUGUUUCCCUAGCUGCGGGCUCCCAAUUUUCGAUCCCUAAUCCGAGAGGAACUCCUCUCCAAUGAAAUACAGACUUGGGACUCUCAGGACACUGUGGAAGGGAAAUUUCCCAACAGACUCUGAGAGUCCAGGAGGCCAGGGAUAGACCAGGUGGCAGGCCCAAGGUCCAGCUGGGGUCAGGUUUCUAUAUGAAUUUUUAAUGCUUCCAGAUAGACUUGUCAGAUGUUCUGAAAACUGAGCAUCUCCUUUCACCUCUGUACAUGAUGCCCUUCUCCAACCCCAUUGCCCCUGCAGGAGGGCAGGCCUGGGACAGAUAUUCAGUGGCCUCUGGAGAAACGGUUUUGGGACAGUAGAAGGGUAAAUGACCUAGUUAUGUUCCCACUAGUAAGCUGUGUGACCUUGGGCAAGUUACUUAACCUCUCUGAACAUUAGAGUUCUGUGGGUUUGUUUUUGUUUUGUAAGCUGGGGACAAUAGUGCCAGCCUAAAUCAAUUUGUUGUGGGGACUCAGUGCAAUAGCCCAUGGCAAAGUGACCUACAUGCUUGCUGUUAUUAUUCUCUUUCCUCAAGUUCUGCCUCCCUCUUCCAGCUUUUCUUCCAACCCCAAAGAUGUCUCUGGCUAUUGCUUCGAAGAAGCAGAGAGGACUGCACUUGGUGAAAGUUUCAAUUCUCCUGUGUGGAGAGAGCCAACCUUUGGAGGUGGGGGAGAUGGCCAAGGCCUCUGAGGUCACUCUUGGCCCCAGGAGCAGCUGAGAACCGGAAAGAAGCUUGGGACCUCCUUUCUGCAGAGCUAUCCUUUCCACAGACUGCCGAGGUUCCAAAUUGAGCUCCACCACCUAACACUGUGUGCCCUUGGGUGUGUGCCUUAACCUCUCUGGGCUUGUUUCCUACAGCGACAAGAAAGAAUGACAACACCAACCUCUUAGGCUAUAGUUUGGAUAAAAUGAGAUAGCUGUGUAGAACAGACAGAUCCUAAACCAAUGUUAGUUUUCCCUUCAUUUGGGGACUUGCUCUAACCUCCAGGGCUUAUGUCCCAGAGGCACAAGCAGGUGCAGGGCUGGAUAAAUAAGGUAUGUCUUUCUGCAGGAUCUCUUGUCCUCACUGAUGGUGUCUUCUCUUGAUAUAGAUAAUUUUAAAGCUUCACGUUAUUUAUUUAUUUACUUUAAAGCCUCACUUUAAUGUUAAAGGUAAAUGUAAAUAUAGUAUAACAAGGAAGCUCAAAAUUUGCAUAAAGUUUUAAGAUAAAAUAGGAGACUCCAAAAAAGUGUUACUUUCGGCAGGCCCUAGGGAUGCUAUGGUGGGAAGUUUGAGUCAUACCUUAGCAUUCUUUCUAAAGCAUUCUGUCCUAAUCCUCUGUAUGGAGAAAAGCCAGCUUCCUGGAUGUACCCCAAAUCCUGGGAAGUAGGGGGCAGGAGCUGGACUCCCUCCAAGCACUAAGGGCAGGGCAUGGUUGGGAACAGGGAGGUGAGCCAGACAGCCAGAGGCGAACGGGCUGGCAUGCCAAGCGUCCUAGUUAAUGCCCAGCUGAGCCUGGGUGAAGAAGGAUGGGGGUGUGGGAAGACACCCCCCACCAACCGCCAAAGACAGGCGCACACCAGCCAGUCUCUCACUUCCCUUUUUAUUUCCUCUAAGACUUGCAAGCAGCAGCA
rnacentral:lncRNA from 1 species